rnacentral:rRNA from 1 species
CCUACGGGAGGCAGCAGUGAGGAAUAUUGGUCAAUGGGCGUAAGCCUGAACCAGCCAAGUCGCGUGAGGGAUGAAGGUUCUAUGGAUUGUAAACCGCUUUUAUAAGGGAAUAAAGUGAGGGACGCGUCCGAUUUUGUAUGUACCUUAUGAAUAAGGAUCGGCUAACUCCGUGCCAGCAGCCGCGGUAAUACGGAGGAUCCCAGCGUUAUCCGGAUUUCUUGGGUUGAAAGGGUGCGUAGGCGGCCUGUUAAGUCAGCGGUGAAAGUCUGUGGCUCAACCCUAGAAUUGCCGUUGAAACUGGGGGGCUUGAGUAUGUUUGCGGCAGGCGGACUGCGUGGUGUAGCGGUGACAUGCUUAGCUCUCACGCAGUACCCCGAUUGCGAAGGCAGCCUGCCAAGCCAUGUCUGACGCUGAUGCACGAAAGCGUGGGGAUCAAACAGGAUUAGAUACCCCUGUAGUC